rnacentral:rRNA from 1 species
AGAGUUUGAUCCUGGCUCAGGACGAACGCUGGCGGCGUGCUUAACACAUGCAAGUCGAACGGAGAUUCAGCAAUGGAUCUUAGUGGCGAACGGGUGAGUAACGCGUAGGCAAUCUGCCUUCUAGAUGGGGACAACAUCCCGAAAGGGGUGCUAAUACCGAAUGUUGUAUGAUUUUCGCAUGGAGAUGAUACUAAAGGUGGCCUCUGAAUGUGCUACCGCUAGAAGAUGAGCCUGCGUCUGAUUAGCUAGUUGGAGGGGUAACGGCCCACCAAGGCUUCGAUCAGUAGCCGGUCUGAGAGGAUGAACGGCCACACUGGGACUGAGACACGGCCCAGACUCCUACGGGAGGCAGCAGUGGGGAAUCUUCCGCAAUGGACGAAAGUCUGACGGAGCAACGCCGCGUGAGUGAAGAAGGUUUUCGGAUCGUAAAGCUCUUUCGUUAGGGACGAACGUGCUCUUUGUGAAUAAUGAGGAGUAAUGACGGUACCUAAAUAAGAAGCCACGGCUAACUACGUGCCAGCAGCCGCGGUAAUACGUAGGUGGCAAGCGUUGUCCGGAAUUAUUGGGCGUAAAGCGCGCGCAGGCGGGAUAUCAAGUCUGUCUUAAAAGUGCGAGGCUCAACCUCGUGAGGGGACAGAAACUGGUAUUCUUGAGUGUCGGAGAGGAAAGUGGAAUUCCAAGUGUAGCGGUGAAAUGCGUAGAGAUUUGGAAGAACACCAGUGGCGAAGGCGACUUUCUGGACGAUGUCUGACGCUGAGGCGCGAAAGCUAGGGGAGCGAACGGGAUUAGAUACCCCGGUA